ensembl:lncRNA
UGGCGUAGAGUGUGAAGUAUUAUAUUAUAAGGCCUGUGGAUCAGAGAGAAGAGUGCUUCUGAGAAGUACAUAUUAUGUAUCUUUAAAGUGUGAUUUGUGUUUGCCUUCUUGGUUUUGUGUUUGUACUGGAAAUCUCCCUAGGAUUCAUUUUGACUUCAACACUGGUGUUCACACUAAAAAUCAAAAUCAAACACUUUUUUUUCUUUUUAUCCGGUAGAUAUUGGUUCUAAAAAGGAAUCUAAAUGUAUCCCUUAUACUGGUUUAUGUAGAAUGGAUAUCGAUCUUCCCUAAAACAAAACAAAACAAAAAUUGUACAGUUUUGUACAGACUUGAACAACCCCUGAAGCCCACACGAAACUGCAUUUGAGAGUCAAUGAAUUUGAAGCCCUCACAAUGGCAAAAUGUUUGCUAGUUUUCAUUCAUUUUGAAAGCUGUGUCUUUGGAUUUAAAACCAAUUGAAACAUUGUAAAUGAACUGGUCUUUAUAUUUGUCGAAACACAUUUUUCUUUCUUUUGUUUUUGUGUAAUGAUGUUUGUGCUUGUAAAUGUGUAGAAGUGUGUGUGGGUGUGCACGGUCAUAUGGAUAGAAAACACUGAACAUUUUCUGCAGGUAUUUAUUGAUCAGUCUAGAGCGUGUGCUUGUCAUUUUGAAAAGCCAUGUAGAAUCCAAUUUGUGCAGCGAGGAGAAUCAAAAAGAUGAAUGUUGUUUGAGAUUGUGAGGUUCUCUACAUUUUCAUAUACUUUGUACAUUCAGAUGCUUUAGAUAAUUAUAUCUUUUAUGUGUCUUUUUGUUUGUCAGCUAAUGAAACCUUGAACCAAUUCAACUAUCCAUUCAUUUGAGAGCAUUGAACCAUAGAGUAAAAUUUGAUGGGUUUGACAUUAUGAUUAUAAAUAUAAUGAUUUUUGCAUGUUGAUCUAAUUUGAAUUUCUCAGUUAUUCUCUUUCUCAGGGGCUUUUCAAAAUCGUUGUAUCUGUCUGGUGUAUAAAAUGCAAUCUCUGUUCACUACACUACAUUUAAGAGCAUUUGGCUGGAUUUGGUCACAGUAUGUUUAGGUCUAAUUGUACCAAACCUUUUGUGCUAAGACUCUGCAAAUUAUUGUAAUUAAUUCAGAUAUCAGUGACCAUGUUUGUCAGAUGGAUUGCAAAUACCUGUCAGAUCAAUUCAGAUGUAGACAACUCGUUGAUUUUGCUUUUUUCAACCCUGUAAAGCGAAUAAAUC